rnacentral:rRNA from 1 species
CUUGCUAAGUUUGAUGGCGACCGGCGCACGGGUGAGUAACACGUAUCCAACCUGCCGAUAACUCGGGGAUAGCCUUUCGAAAGAAAGAUUAAUACCCGAUGGCAUAAUAGAACCGCAUGGUUUGAUUAUUAAAGAAUUUCGGUCAUCGAUGGGGAUGCGUUCCAUUAGGUUGUUGGCGGGGUAACGGCCCACCAAACCUUCGAUGGAUAGGGGUUCUGAGAGGAAGGUCCCCCACAUUGGAACUGAGACACGGUCCAGACUCCUACGGGAGGCAGCAUG